UUUAAAUAUCUUGUUAAUAUUUAUUAAUAUAUUAAAGAAUUAUGAAAAAUAUUUUAUUUUAAAUAUAAUAGAGUAAUUAUUAGUGAAAAUAGUUUAAAGCUAAAGUUUACAAGUACUGUAAAGGAAAGAAAAUAGAGAAGUUAAUAAAAAAAGUAGAAAUAAGUUUUUGUACCUUGUGUAUUAUGGAAAGUUUAUAUAAUAUUAAAAAUAUUAAGGAUCUCGAAAUAAAAAUAGUUAAUUUUAUAAGUGAGUUUUUAUAGGAUAUAAAUUUAGAAUAUAAAAUUAAAGAUGAAAUGUUAGUCGAGUUUUAUAAUAUCUAGUUUUUUAAAAAAUAAAUGUAAUUUAGUUUUUAUAUUGAUAAUAUAUAAAAAUAAAAAAUAGGAGGGAUUAGCUUCUUAUUAAUAGGUUAAUAGUUUAGUAAAAAUAUAAGAGUUAAUCUAGGCUUAAAAAUAGUUAUGAUAAUAAAGUGUUUUAAUUAAGAUUAAUGUUAAUUAUUUAUAGAAACUUUUUAAAGUAUUGAAAAUUUAUUUUUAAUUAAAAUAAAUAAGAUAAAAUGAUUUUAUUAGUAGAAUUGUAAAUUAAAAAUAAAAUUUAAAUAUUUUAGAAUAAUUAUGAGAAUUAAGAUAGUUUAAAGGAAUUCAGCAAAUAUUUCUUUUGCCUGUUUAUCAAAAACAUGUCUGUUUGGAGAUAUAAAAAGUCUAACCUGCCCACUGAUUAUUAAUUUAAAGGGCCGCGGUAUUAUGACCGUGCAAAGGUAGCAUAAUCAUUAGGUUUUUAAUUGGAAUCUUGUAUGAAUGGUUGAACAAAAAGGAAACUGUCUUUAGAUUAAGUUUUGAAUUUAACUUUUAAGUGAGAAGGCUUAAAUAUUUUAGAGGGACGAUAAGACCCUAUAAAACUUUACAUAAUAGUUAUAUUUUGUUGAAUUUUUAAAUAAAAGUUUAUUUAAUUAUUUGUUUUAUUGGGGAGAUAAAGGUAAAAAUUAUAUUAACUGCUUAAAUAUAAAACAAUUUUAAGUGAAUAGAUAAAAGGUCCUAAGUAUAGAUUUAAAGAUUAAGUUACUUUAGGGAUAACAGUGUUAUUUUUUUUGAGAGUUCAUAUCGAAAAAAGAGUUUGCAACCUCGAUGUUGAAUUAAAAUAUCUAUAUAAUGCAGCUAUUAUAUAAGAAGGUCUGUUCGACCUUUAAAAUUUU
rnacentral:rRNA from 1 species